rnacentral:ncRNA from 1 species
GAUUGCAUUAUACCACCUCUCUGCAAUCGCGGCUG